rnacentral:lncRNA from 1 species
GUUAGAUAUCAGCCAACUGGAGUCCGGUCAAUGAGAUGUGAUUGGAGGUGUUGGUUACAGCUGCCCUGCCCUAUAAAAAACACACACCAGUGCUGGGUUUGCUUUUCACAAGAAGCUUUGCCUGAUGUGAAUGAUGCCUCGCACAAAAGAGCUCUCAGAAGACCUACGAUUAAGAAUUGUUAACUUGCAUAAAGCUGGAAAGGGUUAUAAAAGUAUCUCCAAAAGCCUUGCUGUUCAUCAGUCCACGGUAAGAGAAAUUGUCUAUAAAUGGAGAAAGUUCAGCACUGCUGCUACUCUCCCUAGGAGUGGCCAUCCUGUAAAGAUGACUGCAAGAGCACAG